GGUGCAGACACUUGGUUUGCACCGUUGAUUCUUCUCCACCAUAUAGCUAGUUGUUUCAAAUUGACGAUACAAUCUCUGAAUAGUCUGUUUACAUGGAGCCCAUUUUGUAUGAAAGUGUGCACGAAAACGUCUUUGUGUCAUUACAAAAUUCCUCGUUUCUGUAAAAAACAUUAUUACAAUUUUCACCUUCUAUUCAACACUCAAUCUGCUCUUAUGCACCAUCCUGAAAGCUGCUGUUUGGCGCCAAGUAAAUAUUCAAUACUAACUUCUCGGGACAACUACCAGAUUUUCCAUAAACCAGAGUAUAUGAAUAUGAGUUUUCAACAUUCCAUCUAUAAUAUUACAUGUGUAAUGAACAAGACAAGUCGUAUGACAUUUCGUGUGCCACCCUGUAUAUCUCAUCUAG
rnacentral:lncRNA from 1 species